rnacentral:pre_miRNA from 1 species
AAUAAGUGUAGUUUUGUAUUGUUCAUGUUUAAUGUUUGACCGUUCGUCUUAUUAGAAAAUUUUUUUAUGAUUAGUAUUUUUGUUGUUAUUAGAUGAUAAAAUAUGAAUAAUAUUUCAUGUGACUAAUUUUUUUAUUUUUUUAUCAAUUUAUUAAAUAAGAGGGACGGUCUACCUAUAUAUAUCAUCGAUAAAAGAAGCUUCGUAUGUC